GAUGAACGCUGGCGGCGUGCCUAAUACAUGCAAGUCGAGCGAACAGACGAGGAGCUUGCUCCUCUGACGUUAGCGGCGGACGGGUGAGUAACACGUGGAUAACCUACCUAUAAGACUGGGAUAACUUCGGGAAACCGGAGUUAAUACCGGAUAAUAUAUUGAACCGCAUGGUUCAAUAGUGAAAGACGGUUUUGCUGUCACUUAUAGAUGGAUCCGCGCCGCAUUAGCUAGUUGGUAAGGUAACGGCUUACCAAGGCAACGAUGCGUAGCCGACCUGAGAGGGUGAUCGGCCACACUGGAACUGAGACACGGUCCAGACUCCUACGGGAGGCAGCAGUAGGGAAUCUUCCGCAAGGGGCGAAAGCCUGACGGAGCAACGCCGCGUGAGUGAUGAAGGUCUUCGGAUCGUAAAACUCUGUUAUUAGGGAAGAACAAAUGUGUAAGUAACUAUGCACGUCUUGACGGUACCUAAUCAGAAAGCCACGGCUAACUACGUG
rnacentral:rRNA from 1 species